GCCCUCAUAGUCUAAAGGAUAAGACGCGUUCCUCCUAAGAAUGAGAUAGGGGUUCAAUUCCCUUUGAGGGUGCCA
rnacentral:tRNA from 1 species